AUGCGUCCUGGUCGGAUGCGG
rnacentral:siRNA from 1 species